rnacentral:rRNA from 1 species
ACGCACGCUGGCGGCGUGCUUAACCCAUGCAAGUCGCACGGAAAGGCCCUGCUUUUGUGGGGUGCUCGAGUGGCGAACGGGUGAGUAACACGUGAGUAACCUGCCCUUGACUUUUGGAUAACUUCAGGAAACUGGGGCUAAUACCGGAUAGGAGCUCCUGCUGCAUGGUGGGGGUUGGAAAGUUUCGGCGGUUGGGGAUGGACUCGCGGCUUAUCAGCUUGUUGGUGGGGUAGUGGCUUACCAAGGCUUUGACGGGUAGCCGGCCUGAGAGGGUGACCGGCCACAUUGGGACUGAGAUACGGCCCAGACUCCUACGGGAGGCAGCAGUGGGGAAUAUUGCACAAUGGGCGGAAGCCUGAUGCAGCAACGCCGCGUGCGGGAUGACGGCCUUCGGGUUGUAAACCGCUUUCGCCUGUGACGAAGCGUGAGUGACGGUAAUGGGUGAAGAAGCACCGGCUAACUACGUG